rnacentral:rRNA from 1 species
UCUGGUAUUGAUUGGUGCUUGCAUCAUGAUUUACAUUUGAGUGAGUGGCGAACUGGUGAGUAACACGUGGGAAACCUGCCCAGAAGCGGGGGAUAACACCUGGAAACAGAUGCUAAUACCGCAUAACAACUUGGACCGCAUGGUCCGAGUUUGAAAGAUGGCUUCGGCUAUCACUUUUGGAUGGUCCCGCGGCGUAUUAGCUAGAUGGUGAGGUAACGGCUCACCAUGGCAAUGAUACGUAGCCGACCUGAGAGGGUAAUCGGCCACAUUGGGACUGAGACACGGCCCAAACUCCUACGGGAGGCAGCAGUAGGGAAUCUUCCACAAUGGACGAAAGUCUGAUGGAGCAACGCCGCGUGAGUGAAGAAGGGUUUCGGCUCGUAAAACUCUGUUGUUAAAGAAGAACAUAUCUGAGAGUAACUGUUCAGGUAUUGACGGUAUUUAACCAGAAAGCCACGGCUAACUACGUGCCAGCAGCCGCGGUAAUACGUAGGUGGCAAGCGUUGUCCGGAUUUAUUGGGCGUAAAGCGAGCGCAGGCGGUUUUUUAAGUCUGAUGUGAAAGCCUUCGGCUCAACCGAAGAAGUGCAUCGGAAACUGGGAAACUUGAGUGCAGAAGAGGACAGUGGAACUCCAUGUGUAGCGGUGAAAUGCGUAGAUAUAUGGAAGAACACCAGUGGCGAAGGCGGCUGUCUGGUCUGUAACUGACGCUGAGGCUCGAAAGUAUGGGUAGCAAACAGGAUUAGAUACCCUGGUAGUCCAUACCGUAAACGAUGAAUGCUAAGUGUUGGAGGGUUUCCGCCCUUCAGUGCUGCAGCUAACGCAUUAAGCAUUCCGCCUGGGGAGUACGGCCGCAAGGCUGAAACUCAAAGGAAUUGACGGGGGCCCGCACAAGCGGUGGAGCAUGUGGUUUAAUUCGAAGCUACGCGAAGAACCUUACCAGGUCUUGACAUACUAUGCAAAUCUAAGAGAUUAGACGUUCCCUUCGGGGACAUGGAUACAGGUGGUGCAUGGUUGUCGUCAGCUCGUGUCGUGAGAUGUUGGGUUAAGUCCCGCAACGAGCGCAACCCUUAUUAUCAGUUGCCAGCAUUAAGUUGGGCACUCUGGUGAGACUGCCGGUGACAAACCGGAGGAAGGUGGGGAUGACGUCAAAUCAUCAUGCCCCUUAUGACCUGGGCUACACACGUGCUACAAUGGAUGGUACAACGAGUUGCGAACUCGCGAGAGUAAGCUAAUCUCUUAAAGCCAUUCUCAGUUCGGAUUGUAGGCUGCAACUCGCCUACAUGAAGUCGGAAUCGCUAGUAAUCGCGGAUCAGCAUGCCGCGGUGAAUACGUUCCCGGGCCUUGUACACACCGCCCGUCACACCAUGAGAGUUUGUAACACCCAAAGUCGGUGGG